UAUGUGGACCUCUGUUGUGGUGCUUCGGUAUCACGGCAGAACCGCAUAAGCAGGUGAAACUUCUUAGAGGGACUGGCGCUCAAAAAGGCGCACGAGAAAGAGCAAUAACAGGUCUGUGAUGCCCUAAGAUGUCCGGGGCCGCACGCGUGCUACAAUGACGAUGCUAGUGAGCAUGAUUAACUUGCCCGAAAGGGUAGGUAAAACUGUUCAAUCAUCGUCGUGACUGGGAUUGGGGUUUGCAAUUAUCCCCCAUGAACCAGGAAUUCCUAGUAAGCACAAGUCAUAAGCUUGUGCUGAUUACGUCCCUGCCCUUUGUACACACCGCCCGUCGCUACUACCGAUUGAAUGGCUUAGCAAGGUCAUUGGAUUGAGUCUUUGCAGUUAACCCUGCUUGGAUUCGAGAAGAUGCCCGAACUUGGUCAUUUAGAGGAAGUAAAAGUCGUAACAAGGUUUCCGUAGGUGAACCUGCGGAAGGAUCAUUAUCAAAUUCCUAACCAAACGCACUAGUUAACGCUAGUGUUCGCGCUUUAGGCCGUUUAUUCGGCUCGGCGCAUUGUGAUACAGAAGUGGUUGGAGCGGUCUGGUUGGUAAUCUUGUAUCAGCCAGUGCUGGCUUCUUCUCACCCACCAACCCCCCUAGCUCAGUGGCGGGUGGGCAUGUGCAGUUGUGGUAGUGUUGCAUGUGCUCGCUUGUCGCUAAUCCGUGUUCGGGCUAGGCCUGGUUGGCCACUGCCACUGACUCGUUCCUUCACUGGGACGUUCCGGUCUUUUGUACUCAUUGAUAUUUGUUUGUGCAUUCCUGCUGGUUAUGCGCGUGCUGUGUGCGUUGCCCGUGACAGAAGUUCCUGUUGGCUUGUGACAGUCUGGAGUGCGGACUAGUCAUUUGAGCUUUGACGGUCGAGCGGACGUUGUGGGUGAUGUGUGCGGUGUGUGCGUGGCCGUGUGGGUCUGUUGCAAGCACAGGCAUUGGUCCUCGCGAUC
rnacentral:sRNA from 1 species